GGGGAUUUAGCUCAGUGGCAUAAGCACCUGCCUUGCAAGCAGGAAGUCAUGAGUUCGAUCCCUG
rnacentral:tRNA from 1 species